rnacentral:rRNA from 1 species
UUCCGGUUGAUCCUGCCGGACCUGACUGCUAUCGGAUUGAUACUAAGCCAUGCGAGUCAUUGUAGCAAUACAAGGCAGACGGCUCAGUAACGCGUAGUCAACCUACCCUAUGGACGGGGAUAACCUCGGGAAACUGAGAAUAAUACCCGAUAGAACAUUAUACCUGGAAUGGUUUAUGUUUCAAAUAAUUUAUUGCCGUAGGAUGGGACUGCGGCCUAUCAGUUUGUUGGUGAGGUAAUGGCCCACCAAGACUAUUACAGGUACGGGCUCUGAGAGGAGUAGCCCGGAGAUGGGUACUGAGACACGGACCCAGGCCCUAUGGGGCGCAGCAGGCGAGAAAACUUUGCAAUGUGCGAAAGCACGACAAGGUUAAUCCGAGUGGUUUCUGCUAAAGGAACCUUUUGUCAGUCCUAGAAACACUGUUGAAUAAGGGGUGGGCAAGUUCUGGUGUCAGCCGCCGCGGUAAAACCAGCACCUCAAGUGGUCAGGAUGAUUAUUGGGCCUAAAGCAUCCGUAGCCUGCUUUGUAAGUUUUCGGUUAAAUCCAUACGCUUAA